ACGGGAGGCAGCAGUGAGGAAUAUUGGUCAAUGGGCGGAAGCCUGAACCAGCCAUGCCGCGUGCAGGAAUAAGGCCCUAUGGGUCGUAAACUGCUUUCGCCUGGGAGCAAUAAGGUCUACGUGUAGGCCGAUGAGAGUACCAGGCGAAUAAGCAUCGGCUAACUCCGUGCCAGCAGCCGCGGUAAUACGGAGGAUGCGAGCGUUAUCCGGAUUUAUUGGGUUUAAAGGGUGCGUAGGCUGUUCGUCAAGUCAGCGGUGAAAUGCCGGGGCUCAACCCCGGAGCUGCCGUUGAUACUGUCGGGCUUGAAUACUGUUGCCGUGGGAGGAAUGAGUAGUGUAGCGGUGAAAUGCAUAGAUAUUACUCAGAACACCGAUUGCGAAGGCAUCUCACGAAGCAGCGAUUGACGCUGAGGCACGAAAGCGUGGGGAUCAAACAGGAUUAGAUACCCUGGUA
rnacentral:rRNA from 1 species